UAGUCUCACUAUCUACUCCGACGAUACCAUCGCCGCAACCCACCAUCAUUCACGGCGGAUCCACCACCAGGCACCAUCACCAGCUCAAAAGGACCACCAUAAUUCACAACAUUCUGUUUAGAUCUAAUCGAUAAGUCUGGGGGAUGGCUUUUUCGGAAGCCGAAUCCCGCCUCGUAAACAAGAUCCUAGUCCCAGCCCUAGAAAAAAUUAUCAAGAACAGCUCUUGGCGCAAGCACUCAAAACUCGCUCAGGAAUCCAAAUUAGUACUCGAACGCAUCACUUCCUCCGAGAAACCCUCUCCUACAUCAGAAGACAGUCAAUCAGAUGUUGAUACGUCACCACAAUCACCAGCCCCCGGCGUCCUGCAAGAUUCAGGCACCAACGAACUUUCCCUAGCCGAAUCAGAACUCAUUUUAAGCCCCAUCAUCAACGCUUGCUCUUCGGGGAAUGUCAAGAUCGCUGAACCAGCGCUGGAUUGUAUACAGAAGUUGAUUGCUCAUGGAUAUUUACGUGGCGAAGCGGACCCCAGUGGUGGUCCCGAUGCAAAAUUGUUAGCAAAAUUGAUCGACUCAGUUUGCAAGUGUCAUGAUUUUGGGGAGGAGGGAGUGGAAUUGUUGGUGUUGAAGACAAUUUUAUCGGCAGUGACGUCGGUAUCGUUGAGGAUACAUGGUGAUAGUUUGUUGCAGAUUGUCAGGACUAGCUAUGAUAUUUAUCUAGGGAGUAAGUAUGUGGUUAAUCAGACAACGGCGAAGGCGUCAUUAGUGCAGAUGCUUGUGAUUGUUUUUAGGAGGAUGGAGGCUGAUUCAUCAACGGUGCCAGUGCAGCCGAUCGUGGUGGCAGAGCUGAUGGAGCCUACGGAAAAGGGGGGAGAUGGUGAUGGAACAAUGACGGUGUUUGUUCAAGGGUUUAUUAGUAAAGUUAUUCAUGGAAUGGAUGGGGUUUUGAAUCCAGGGACUCGGGUAGGAUCAAAUGCUGGUGGUGGUGGGGUGCAUGAUGGGGCGUUUGAAACCAAGACUUCAACUGUAGAGUCAACAAAUCCUGCUGAUUUGUUAGAUUCUACGGAUAAGGAUAUGUUGGAUGCUAAGUAUUGGGAGAUUAGUAUGUAUAAGACGGCAUUGGAGGGCCGGAAAGGGGAAUUGGCAGACGAGGAGGUUGACAGGGAUGAUGAUAUAGAGGUUCAGAUUGGGAAUAAGCUGAGAAGGGAUGCGUUUUUGGUGUUUCGGGCUCUUUGUAAGCUAUCAAUGAAGACCCCUCCGAAAGAUGCAUUGGCAGACCCACAGUUGAUGCGAGGAAAGAUAGUUGCUUUGGAGUUGUUGAAGAUCUUGUUGGAGAAUGCUGGGGCUAUUUUCAGAACCAGUGAACGAUUUUUGGGAGCCAUUAAGCAGUACUUAUGCCUGUCUUUGCUAAAGAACAGUGCAUCGACCCUUAUAAUUGUAUUUCAGCUCUCUUGCUCAAUUUUCAUUAGUCUGUUGUCAAGAUUUAGAGCGGGAUUGAAGGCAGAGAUUGGAGUAUUCUUUCCUAUGAUUGUUCUCAGAGUUCUAGAGAAUGUCGCUCAACCAAAUUUUCAGCAGAAGAUGAUAGUACUGCGAUUUCUUAAAAGACUAUGUGUUGAUUCCCAGAUCUUGGUAGAUAUAUUUGUCAACUAUGACUGUGAUGUCAAUUCAUCCAACAUUUUUGAAAGAAUGGUCAAUGGGCUUCUUAAGACUGCCCAAGGGGUUUCACCUGGAGUUGCAACUACGCUUUUGCCGCCUCAGGAUAUCACCAUGAAGCUAGAAGCUAUGAAGUGCUUAGUGGCUGUUUUAAAAUCAAUGGGAGACUGGAUGAACCAUCAAUUGCGCAUUCCUGAUCCUCAUUCUGCAAAGAAAGCUGAGUUGGUUGACAACAGUCCUGAAAUUGGAAAUCCUCCCAUGGAAAAUGGGAUUGCAAAUGAUCGUGAGUCUUUUGAGGGAUCGGAUUCUCAUUCCGAAGCCUCCAGUGAAGUUUCAGAUGCUUCAACUAUUGAGCAACGCCGGGCUUACAAACUCGAACUUCAGGAAGGUAUCUCUCUUUUUAACCGUAAGCCUAAAAAGGGCAUUGAAUUCUUGAUCAAUGUGAAUAAGGUGGGGAAUUCACCUGAAGAAAUAGCAGAGUUCUUAAAAAAUGCAUCUGGUUUAAACAAGACUUUGAUAGGUGAUUAUCUUGGGGAAAGAGAAGAUCUACCACUUAAAGUAAUGCAUGCAUAUGUGGAUUCAUUUGACUUUCAUGGUAUGGAGUUUGAUGAGGCAAUUAGAGCCUUUCUACGGGGCUUUAGGUUGCCUGGUGAGGCACAAAAGAUUGAUCGCAUCAUGGAAAAGUUUGCUGAACGUUACUGCAAAUGCAAUCCAAAGGCGUUUAUCAGUGCCGACACAGCCUACGUCCUUGCCUACUCUGUGAUAAUGCUGAAUACUGAUGCUCAUAAUGCCAUGGUCAAGAAUAAGAUGUCAGCUGACGAUUUUAUAAGAAAUAAUCGUGGCAUAGAUGAUGGAAAGGACUUACCUGAGGAGUAUCUAAGAUCAUUGUUUGAGCGUAUAUCAAGACAUGAAAUUAAAAUGAAAGAAGAUGAUUUCGCCCUUCAACAGAGGCAGUCUGUAAACUCAAACAGGAUUUUGGGUUUAGACAGUAUAUUGAAUAUUGUGGUGCGUAAGAAUGCAGAAGAAAAUCAAACAAGUGAUGAUCUUAUGCGACACAUGCAAGAACAGUUUAAAGAGAAAGCACGCAAAUCGGAGUCAGUUUAUUAUGCUGCAACAGAUGUGUUUAUACUUACAUUGAUGGUAGAGGUGUGCUGGGCUCCUAUGCUAGCUGCCUUUAGUGUUCCUCUUGACCAAAGUGAUGAUGAGAUAAUAAUAGCUCAAUGUCUGGAGGGAUUUCGUUGUGCUAUCCAUGUUACUGCAGCAAUGUCCAUGAAGACUCAUCGAGAUGCUUUCUUGACAUCGCUGGCAAAGUUUACUUCCCUUCAUUCACCAGCUGAUAUAAAACAGAAGAACAUCGAAGCUAUCAAGGCAAUAGUUACAAUUGCAGAUGAAGAUGGGAACUAUCUACAGGACGCAUGGGAGCAUAUCCUGACAUGUGUUUCUCGGUUUGAACAUUUGCAUCUAUUGGGAGAGGGGGCUCCUCCAGAUGCCACAUUUUUUUCUGUUAAUCAGAAUGAAUCUGAAAAAUCAAAACAUACGAAGUCAUAUAUCCUUCCUGUUCUUAAAAGAAAGGGAGUUGGAAGGCUUCAGCAAGCAGCUGCAGCAACGAGAAGAGGUUCAUAUGAUAGUGCUGGCAUUGGUGGUAAUACUUCUGCAGGCAUUACGACGGAGCAGGUGAAUAGUUUGGUCUCUAAGUUAAACAUGCUGGAACAAGUUGGUGAAAUGAAUCGUAUAUUCAUUAGGAGUCAGAAACUUAACAGCGAGGCAAUAGUUGAUUUUGUGAAGGCACUUUGCAAGGUGUCUAUGGAGGAACUACGAUCUACAUCUGCUCCACGAGUGUUUAGCCUCACAAAAAUAGUUGAAAUUGCUCACUAUAACAUGAACCGCAUCAGGCUUGUCUGGACAGGCAUCUGGAAUGUACUCUCUGAUUUUUUUGUGACUAUAGGUUGUUCUGAAAAUCUGUCAAUUGCAAUAUUUGCAAUGGAUUCUUUACGCCAACUAUCUAUGAAGUUCUUGGAAAGGGAAGAGUUAACUAAUUACAAUUUUCAGAAUGAGUUUAUGAAGCCUUUUGUGAUUGUCAUGCGUAAAAGUAGUGCUGUGGAAAUUAGAGAGCUGAUCAUCAGAUGUGUCUCUCAAAUGGUUCUAUCUCGUGUCAAUAACGUCAAGUCAGGAUGGAAAAGCAUGUUCAUGGUCUUCACUACGGCAGCUUAUGAUGACCACAAAAAUAUUGUACUCCUCGCCUUUGAAAUGAUUGAGAAGAUAGUGCGAGACUAUUUUCCUUACAUCACUGAAACAGAAACCACCACUUUUACAGAUUGUGUAAAUUGUCUGAUUGCAUUCACCAGUAGCAGAUUCGACAAAGAUAUCAGUCUCAAUGCUAUUGAUUUCUUGCGUUUGUGUGCGGCAAAACUGGCUAAAGGAGAUUUAGGAUCCUCCUCAAUGGAUAAGGACAAAGAGGUGUCUGAAAAGAUAUCAUUGUCUCCACAUUAUGCAAAAAAAGACAGAAGAUAUGAUAAUGGAGAUUUGGCAGAUAAGGAAGACCAUUUGUACUUCUGGUUUCCAUUACUAGCUGGGUUGUCAGAACUUAGCUUUGACUCAAGGCCUGAGAUUAGGAAGAGUGCCCUUGAAACACUCUUUGAUACAUUACGAAACCAUGGUCAUCACUUCUCUCUACCUUUGUGGGAAAGGGUGUUUGAUUCUGUCCUAUUUCCAAUCUUUGAUUAUGUCCGGCAUGCUAUUGAUCCUUCUGGUGAGAACUCUUCAGAACAGGGGAUUGAUGGUGACGUGGACGAGCUUGAUCAAGACUCUUGGCUAUAUGAGACAUGCACACUUGCACUCCAGUUGGUUGUGGAUCUUUUUGUUAAUUUCUAUGACACUGUCAACCCACUUUUAAAGAAGGUUCUGAUGUUGUUAGUGAGUUUUAUCAAGCGUCCUCACCAAAGCCUUGCUGGUAUUGGAAUUGCUGCAUUUGUUCGUUUGAUGAGCAAUGCUGGGGAAUUGUUCUCUGAUGACAAGUGGCUUGAAGUGGUUUCGUCUUUGAAAGAGGCUGCGAAUGCAACACUUCCUGAUUUCUUGUUUCUUUUAAGUAGAGAUGGGCUAAUUGUGAACCAUGAGGAUGUUUCUACGAGACGAAGUGAUGGGGGUUCUGCUGAGGCUAGCAUGCGGGAUGAGGAGUUGGAGAACCUGUGGAGGGACCGUUUAUACACUGCCGUUUCUGAUGUCAAGUGUCGUGCUGCGGUCCAACUUCUAUUGAUCCAGGCAAUAAUAGAGAUUUAUAACAUGUACAGACCUCAGCUAUCAACAAAGAACACCUUAGUUGUCUUUGAUGCAGUGCAUGGGGUGGCAAGUCAUGCCCACAAGAUAAAUGCCGACACCACAUUGCGUUCUAAGCUACAGGAGCUUGGCCCAAUGACACAAAUGCAGGAUCCUCCAUUGUUACGCCUUGAAAUUGAGUCCUAUCAAACCUGCCUCACGUUUCUACAGAACCUUGCGGUGGACCGACCUCCAUCUUUUGAGGAAUCAAAAGUGGAGUCUCAACUUGUUGACCUUUGCCAAGAAGUAUUAAAAUUCUAUGUUGAAAUAGCAUGGCCUGCACGUAUGACCGGGCUAUCUCCUAACCGGGCCCACUGGUUGAUACCGUUAGGCUCUGGGAAAAAGAGAGAACUGGCUGCACGUGCGCCUGUUAUCGUUGCAACUCUACAGGCUAUAUGUAGUUUGGGAGACUCUUCAUUUGAGAAGAAUUUAUCUAGCUUUUUCCCUCUGGUUUCUAGCCUGAUAAGCUGCGAUCAUGGAUCCAGUGAGGUCCAGAUAGCCCUUAGUGAAAUGCUCAGCUCCUCGGUGGGUCCUGUUUUGCUGCGAUCAUGUUGAAUGGUUCAUAGUCAACUGAUGCUACCAAGAAUGAUGAGGGUUUAUGCAGAUUACAGGUAUGUUCCUCACUGCUAUCAAACUGUAUCUCGAUGACAGAUUUGAGUUUUUCUUGCUGAUGCUCCUCGUUUGACUUGGAUUCAGGAACCAUAUGGUGGUAUCUGAGGAAGCUACUGUGCAGUCAAUGAUUGGAAAUGGAAGGAGUGGAGUAAAGGUUUGAAUGAAUCAUUGAUUCCGGCAGUUGCGGACACCACAACUUGCUCCAUAAACCACCAAAAAAGGUAUCAACUCAAGUGAAUGCUAUUGCCGGCAGGCACUUUCCUUUAACCUUCCUCCCCCCCUAUCUCUUUCUUUAGCUACUUGCUA